rnacentral:rRNA from 1 species
UUUAUGGAGAGUUUGAUCCUGGCUCAGGAUGAACGCUGGCGGCGUGCCUAACACAUGCAAGUCGAGCGGCAGCGAGGGGUGCUUGCACCCUGUCGGCGAGCGGCGGACGGCUGAGUAACGCGUGGGAACGUGCCCCAAAGUGAGGAAUAACUGCCCGAAAGGGUAGCUAAUACCGCAUAUUAUCUUCGGAUCAAAGGAUUUAUCCGCUUUGGGAGCGGCCCGCGUCGGAUUAGGUAGUUGGUGAGGUAAUGGCUCACCAAGCCGACGAUCCGUAGCUGGUCUGAGAGGAUGACCAGCCAGACUGGAACUGAGACAC